ACGCUCGACACCUACGGGAGGCGGCAGUGGGGAAUAUUGCACAAUGGGGGAAACCCUGAUGCAGCGACGCCGCGUGAGCGAAGAAGUAUCUCGGUAUGUAAAGCUCUAUCAGCAGGGAAGAAGAUGACGGUACCUGACUAAGAAGCACCGGCUAAAUACGUGCCAGCAGUCGCGGUAAUCUGAGCGGGCUGGCAAGGC
rnacentral:rRNA from 1 species